rnacentral:lncRNA from 1 species
CCUCCUGCACUCAGGCGGCAUCGUCGGGUAUCUCGACCGAUCGGUGCAGUAGUUGUAGAUGGUGUACUUCUGGCGCACCCAACUCAGUCUCCGGUAUUGGUAGCCAUCAAGAUCCUGGAACUCCUUCUGGUCCCACCACCGCCUCCCCUGGGUGGCGCAGAACUUGGCCUCAGCCGAUGCCUCGCAGCCAUCGAUGUGGAAGCCCCGGUAGGCAGCCACAAAUGGAGCCUUAGACCAGUCAGUCUUCUCGAGCCCGCCCCUUGUAGCCCAGUCAUCAGCAUUCCACAGGCUGGAGUAUAUCUUCAUCGGCU